rnacentral:rRNA from 1 species
UACGGGGGGGGCAAGCGUUGUUCGGAAUUAUUGGGCGUAAAGGGCGCGUAGGCGGCUUUGCAAGUCAAAGGUGAAAUCCCUCGGCUCAACUGAGGAACUGCCUUUGAAACUGUGAGGCUUGAGUCCGGGAGGGGGUAGCGGAAUUCCCAGUGUAGCGGUGAAAUGCGUAGAUAUUGGGAGGAACACCAGUGGCGAAGGCGGCUACCUGGACCGGAACUGACGCUGAUGCGCGAAAGCGUGGGUAGCAAACAGG